CCUACGGGGGGCAGCAGUGAGGAAUAUUGGUCAAUGGACGAGAGUCUGAACCAGCCAAGUAGCGUGAAGGAUGACUGCCCUAUGGGUUGUAAACUUCUUUUAUCUGGGAAUAAAAUGUUCCACGUGUGGGCUUUUGUAUGUACCAUAUGAAUAAGGAUCGGUCAACCCCGUUCCAGCAGCCGCGGUAAUACGGAGGAUCCGAGCGUUAUCCGGAUUUAUUGGGGUUAAAGGGAGCGUAGGUGGAUUGUUAAGUCAGUUGUGAAAGUUUGCGGCUAAAACGUCAAAGUGCAGUUGAAACUGGCAGUCUUGAGUACAGUAGAGGUGGGCGGAAUUCGUGGUGUAGCGGUGAAAUGCUUAGAUAUCGCGAAGAACUCCGAUUGCGAAGGCAGCUCACUGGACUGCAACUGACACUGAGGCUCGAAAGUGUGGGUAUCGAACAGGAUUAGAUACCCUUGUAGUC
rnacentral:rRNA from 1 species